CACAGAACAGCCCUGUGGAAUUUCCCGGAGGCUCCGAGUUCAUUCGCUACCCGCAGGUAUAACCAAAGCGACUCGCCCUAACACGUCCCCCAAGCCCAUCGCCAACCCCGGCAGCGAAAGCAGCACCCCCUAGCGCCCCCGGUUCAAACUGCCCACCCCAUCCGGCAGCGUUUGGUUGCUAAAAAGCCAAUUGGCCAUUUCAAUGAAAGCAGAAAGCCUGUUCCUUGAAUAUGCCAGUUUAUUUCCAAUCUACCACGCUGAACGGCUGAGCGAUCUGGUUCCACCCCCGCUUUUUUUUUUUUAGUUUUGCAUAUUCCAUAGCUAGGUCUGACCUUUGACAACACAUCAAGGAAAAAUAAAUGACACAUGCAGGAAAGUUUUUAAAAAUUCAACACUGUUACAGCACUUGGUGGUUUUCUUUUUUUAAAUGAGCGCAACUUCUUACAAAACCCUUUAUAAAUUCUUUGUAAUAUGUUACACAUUUAAAGACAAUAUUUACACACACCAAAAAAAAAAA